GCAAAAAUGCAGAAGUACCGGCUGGUCUAGUCCUAAGAGCCAAGAGGAGCGAGCGAGAGCAGCAGAAAGGAGAGCAGCCACGCUCCCGUAGCGAGGGGAACAUACAAACAGCGGCAGCGCCGUAAUUAAGCCACCGCCGCCCCGAGGCAGCCCCGACCCACCCUGGAUGCGGAGGACCCCCGAGCCACCCCGCUGCCUUUCCCCUGAGGGAUGGUACUGAAUUUCUGCGCGGCAGGAGCCGGCCUGCAGCUCCUCUCCAUCAGCGUUGCCUUCCCUCCGUGUCUAAAGUGCACUAGACCGCGAUGAGGACCUGGGCUUGCGUUUUGCUGAUAGGUUUUGGCUACCUGUCCUUUACCUUCUCCGAGGUAGGUGAGAGCGGCUUUCUGCGUUCUCGACCUCUCCGUCUCUCAGCGGAGAAGAAUUUCCAUAAGUUGAGAGAGAAUAAACCCGGCACCUUUGAUGUGCCCAAGGGAAACGUGCAUCUCUCUGAAGAGCAAAAUGGAGAAAAAUGA